rnacentral:rRNA from 1 species
AAGUGACGGGCAAUUUGUACAUAUUUUAAAAUUUAAUUCAAAAAAUUUAAUUUAAAAAAUUUACUUUUAAAUCCUAUUUAAUUAUAUUUUUUAAAAACAUAAAUCCAAAAAUAAAAAUUAAUGUAAUUCAUAUCUUCUUUUUAAUUUACAUAUUGAUCUGAAAUAAAAUAAUAAUUUUAUUUUUAAAAAAUUUAAAUUUAAUUAAAAUAUUUUUAUAACGAACAUACAUAAAAAUUUAACAAAAAGUUUAUCCUUUCGUGGAUUAUCAAAUUAAAGUACAAAUUCCUCUAAAUAAAUUAAAAUACCGCCAUAAAUUUUAAUUUUAAACAAAUUUUAUUAAUUUAAUAUUUAAUUUUAAAAUAAAAAUAAUAGGGUAUCUAAUCCUGGGUUU